rnacentral:rRNA from 1 species
GAUGAACGCUGGCGGCGUGCCUAACACAUGCAAGUCGAACGAGAUCUUCGGAUCUAGUGGCAGACGGGUGAGGAACACGUGGGAACAUCCCUUUCAGUUCGGAAUAACGUUGGGAAACUAACGCUAAUACCGGAUACGUCCUUCGGGAGAAAGAUUUAUCGCUGAAAGAUUGGCCCGCGUCUGAUUAGCUAGUUGGUGAGGUAAUGGCUCACCAAGGCUACGAUCAGUAGCUGAUCUGAGAGGAUGAUCAGCCACAUUGGGACUGAGACACGGCCCAAACUCCUACGGGAGGCAGCAGUGGGGAAUAUUGGACAAUGGGCGCAAGCCUGAUCCAGCCAUGCCGCGUGAGUGAUGAAGGCCUUCGGGUUGUAAAGCUCUUUUAUCCGGGAAGAUAAUGACUGUACCGGAAGAAUAAGCCCCGGCAAACUUCGUGCCAGCAGCAGCCGCGG